UUAAUUGUUCGUGGUUACUUUCAAAAUUGAUAAGGAUUAAACUAUUCUAUUUCUUUUAGAGUGACCAAUUUGUUCAAUAUCAAAAAAAUAUUUUUUAUUUUUUUUAAUUUCAUAGGUAAGAAAAUCUCAAAUCACACAAUUAUUAUUUUUCCUUCCAUACCCCUAUGCCACCGAAGAAAAUUUACAAUGUCACACAAUUUGGCUUUAAACCCUUAAAAAAGAGUUGAAUUUAAUCAUCAAUUUUUUAAAAAGAAUUAAAUUAUUAUUUAACGGAAACAAUAAAUUUUGAAAUACAUAUAAUAAUUCACGCGUAUUUCAUAUAUAUUUUUAAUUUUUAUGAUUGUAAUACCAAUUUUUUCUGCCCGGGCCUAUACAAAAUAAAAUACAGCAGGCCCAUCUACAGACCAAACCCAUAUUCAAAAAAAACCUAGCCUAAGAAGCAGCAAGCUUCAGCCGCAUGCCCAACAGCAGCCUCCCUAACUGCCGUCGCAUCCUCCGCGCACGUACACCUCUUCCACGGCCUCCAUACCUACGAGAAAAGCGGAUCCAAACAGCAAUAGACGCAACAAAUAAUGAAAUAGGAUUUUUUACUUUUAUUUUGCUGUAAUUUUGGCUAUAAAAAGCCAUCAAAAAUCUGUAAAAUGGGGGGAACCAAUAUUGUAUUGAGAGAAUACUGAAAUACAAAAAUAGGGAGAAAAUAUUGAGAUUACAAAGAGAUUUUUGAAGGUGAAUCGUGUUUAUUUUUUUCCAUUUUUUCCAUUCUUUUUUAUUUUAUUUUUUAUUUAUUUUUAAUUUAAAAUAUAAAGAAGGGAGGAAGGACUUACCUCUCUCGCCGGAUUCGUAUAUAUAUUUAUAUAUAUAAAAAAUAUUUCUCUAAUACAUAUACAUAUUUUUAUAUAUAUAUUGUUAUUAUUUCUUUUUUAGCUUUUAUAUACAUAUAUACGUAUAUACAUUUAUAUUUCUAUUAUAUUUAUAUAUACAUUCUUUUAAAAUUAUUAUAAACAUUUUAUUGUUCUACACAUUCCAUUAUUUUCAUAUUGCACCUAUAUAUAUAAGUAUCUAAAUAAGUACAUAUUUUCAUGAUUGACCUACUUAUAUACUCAUACAUUUUUAUUUUGUAAAUAUAUGCACGUAUACAUAUGUUUUUUUAUUUUUAUCUUCACAAUUUUCACAUACAUAUGUACAUGCAUAUUAUUAUAAGUUUUGUUUUGUAUAUUUCAUUCCCUUUUAUGUACACUUAUAUUUUUUAAAAUGUAUGCAUAUACAUGUUUUCAAAAUUCAUUUAUGCUUUAUACUUAUAUUUUGAAAACACAUAUAUACAUAUAAUUUAAAUUAAAAUAUUUGUAUCAUAUUGUACAUUACCUUUUUAACGUACCCUUUUUGAAAAUAUGUUUUGGUUUUAACCAUACAUCAAAGUUAUUUUCUCGCUCCAAAGGUUUUUUUUUUUGAAUAAAAGCAAUGUUCGAAGCUUGAGAUUUUCGAGGGAAAUUGAGCCCUAACGUAUUGGGUUCAGAUUUUCUUUGUUAAUCUUAAAUAACCGAGGAUAUUCUUUAUUCAAAAUGCAUGAGCAUAAAAAUCAUUUUUGGGAACUUAACUUGUCGUGCCCUAACGUAUUGGGUGUGGCAUGUUACUUUCUCGAAAUAAAUAUUUUCGCAUGAAAUAAAAGUGAUAUUCAAAGUUCGGGGAUUAUGAGGAAUUGUACCCUAACGUAUUGGGACUCGAUUUCUUUACAUGACUUGAACAAUUUGUUAUCCUUUUACAAAUUUCAUCAUUCAAGCUUAUUUUAAAAUCUUUUUAACUUUCGACACUAAGACAUUAAAUGAUCAAUUUGGUACCGAUUUUGGGCGUCACGAGGGUGCUAACCCUUCCUCGUGCGUAACCGACUCCCGAACUCGUUUUCUCAAAAUUCGUAGACCAAAAUAAUUUUUAAGGUGACCCGAUCACACCUUAAUAAAAGAUCGGUGGCGACUCCAGUUUUGUUUUAAAAGUCGACAACUAAAAUUUUUGUUUUUCAAAAAACGGUUUCGACAGCUUGGCGACUCCACUGGGGACACUAAAGAGUCGAGCCAUAAAUUGGUUAUUUGUUCGUCUUGUGAUCGAAAAUCAAAUUUGGGUUUUAAAAUCAUGAUUUCCCUUCAUUUUUUUUACCAUGGAAUGUUGGUAACCUUGCAUUUGCAUUUUGCAUUUUACCCUUAAGUGGGAGCGAGAAACUAGUCCUUCGUGAGGUUUUCACCUCCGUGCAGGGUAAUGGACCGCUUCCGGGAUACAUCCGUACCUAUGUCUUCGUGAGAUUUUCAUCUCCGUGUAGCCAUAGGGAAAUGUGUCCCCCUGAACCGAACUCGAUCCACAUGAGCCUAUAAUGGGUGAGGAUCGAGGAAUCUGCUGGUCGGGUACCUUUACUCUAGAAACUAAACCUCAUAUAGUGAGCUUUAGGAACUUACCUUAGGUAGAAGUACUCUAAACCUUAGGAGAUACCUGACUAGGAGUUUUUAUUAUUUCUUGCUUAUAUUGGAUUUAAUGUUUAUACCCGAUACUAACUCGUUGCAUUUUGUUUUGAUUGCAUGACAUCAUGAUCGCAUUGCAUUUUCAUCAUAAAAGAGGUGUUGAUUCACGUUCGGUUGUUAAUAGAGAGCUUGUCAUAAGGAAAUGGGUUUCUUGAUAAAAUAGAAAAUAAUACGGUUGCCCGAAUAUGUUCCGAGAAAACACAACAAGAGAAAGAUGAUAGUUUAAUGGAGGACUACAUAACCAUUGCUUCGUUGCCCGAAGACUCAAGCUGAUGAAGGCUAUUCGAGAGCCGCUGAACUUUUUGUUUAAGGGAAGCCAACGAGCAUCACGACGAUAAAGGAGCAACGAAGAACAGUCCGGAUCAAGUAAAAUGGAGAUAGAAGAGACAUCUAUUUUGAAGAAUUCACAAGAUUUAUCUUAGCAUCCAGAUGAAGAAGGAGAAGAUGUCCUCGCUUGGAGCAUGAGGGCAAAGCCGUAUAUAUAUAUCUGCUUUAUGUAAAGAAAUUUAUCUUCUAGAAAAGUUUUCUAAAUAGAAUUGAAUCAGAAUCAACGUCUCUUUUUGCAUUCAUCAAAUGCAUUUGCAUUACAUAGCAUCAUAUGCAUUAAAAUCCAUUGAAAGAGCCUAAUUAAUUAAAAUUAUUGCUUAGUUAACCUGGAAACCAACCAACCAACCCGACACCGAUACGGCACUCGAGCAAAGACAAAAGAUAUGGAUCAGAGAUUAGAGAAGCUCGAACAGUACCAGAAGGAGAUGCAAGACCGGCUUCAGCUACAAAUGCAGGAACGGUUAGACAAGAUGAAACAGGAGAUGUCUGAGAAGAUGCGGAAUCUCAAGAGGACAUAGUGGCAAAGUUAACCCGAUUGAUAACUAAAGGAGGUGAUAAAGGAAAGGGCCCCAUGGCAGAUGUCGAUGAGGGAAAUGAUGAUGAACUUUUCUAUCCUCCAGGUUUCAUCCCUCCACAUGAGCGAACUCAAGCUGAAUACCCGUGCAAAUCUACUGUCACCAUCAUGCCUCAGCAAUUUCGAGCUGGUAUUUCGAACCACCAAACUGGGCCGAGCUUUAAUCCUGAAAAUAAUCCUAUUAACUCUGCCAUUCCUGACUUUGAUGAAGUGGUUGAGAAGGAAAGAAUGAAGGAAAAGUUACCGAAACAGUUGGAAGAAAGAUACAGGUGGCUCGAAGAGAAGUUCAAGGCGAUGGAAGUCACUGAAAGUUAUCGAGGCAUUGACGCAAAAAAGCUGAGUUUAGUGCCAAAUUUAGUACUCUCUCAUAAAUUUAAGAUGCCUGAAUUUGAAAAGUACAAUGGGACAAGCUGCCCAGCAGCUCACAUCACCAUGUUCUACAGGCAAAUGGCUGGAUACGUUAACAAUGACCAACUAUUGAUACACUGUUUCUAAGAUAGCCUAGCAGGGGCAGCAUCUAAGUGGUACAAUCAGUUGAGUCGUGCCACGGUUGGUUCAUGGAGGGACUUGGCGCAAGCAUUCAUGAAACAAUAUAGUCAUGUGACAGAUAUGGCUCCUGAUAGAAUCACCCUUCAGAAUAUGGAGAAGAAGCCGAGCGAAAGCUUUAGGCAGUAUGCACAGAGAUGGAGGAAGGUCGCAGUCCAAGUUCAGCCACCACUCUUGGAAACGGAAAUGGCCAUGCUAUUCAUUAACACCCUAAAAGCACCUUUCAUCACACAUAUGUUAGGAAGUGCCACAAAAAGCUUUCCUGACAUAGUCAUGAAUGGUGAAAUGAUUGAGAGCGCUAUAAGGAGCGGGAAAAUUGAGACAGAUGAGAGUAAUAAGAGGUCAAUCUCAAGAAGAAGAGAAAAUGAGGUGGACAACACGGGUUACUCUAAAUCAGUUACUGUGAGUCAAACAAGAAAGGUGGUUGGUAAUCAACAGAAUUCAUCGAGGCAAGAUUCCGGCAUAAAGACUGAGAGGCCCCAAUUCACGCCAAUUCUGGUACCGUAUAAGGAACUGUAUCAAAAUUUGUUUGAUGCACAUGUUGUUUCCCCUUUUCAUGUGAAGCCUCUACAACCGCCGUAUCCUGAAUGGUAUGAUACGAACACACAAUGUGAAUAUCAUGCGGGAAUUACGGGACACUCGAUUGAGAAUUGCACUGCCUUCAAGAAGCAAGUUGAAAGACUUAUCAACAUGGGUAUUGUCAAGUUUGGUGACUCGUCCAGCGCAGGAAAUCCGCUACCCAAUCAUGAUUGAGGAUGGAGGGACUGCAAUAUAUGAAGAAGUGGUGAGAAAUUUGCACAUCGAUGCGGACACAAUUAAAAGGGUCCUUGUUAGAUAUUCGCCUUAGAGGUGUUCUAAAUAAUGGGACUGCAAAGGAAACCCCUAAAAUAUUUAGAGUCUGUUAGAGUAAUGUUAAGAACACACUUGUUGCUUUCAGCCUAGAAGCAAUAGGAGUUUCUUUGUGAAAUAGGCUCACGUCUGAACAUUAUUAUUUUAAUGAAAUACAUUAUUGCAAUCAUCUUUGAGCAAAUGUUCUUUCAUUCUUUACGAUUUCUUUAUUUUUUUUCCUUUCAGAUUUUUUCUGCCAAAUUAUUCGUUCAUUCGUUCAUAUUAUUCAUACAUUCUUUUGUAUAUUCUUUGGUACCCACUAUGGGUCCCCAAAUAUCAAUGACAUGAGUGACGCUGCUACAGACUCAAAUCGCCUUUUGAGUGAGACAUGUGUUUAGAGGGAUCUCAUGGCUUUGAAGAUGUCAUAAAUUGCAGCUUAUCUCCUAACUUGUUGAGGAUGGUAAAGCAAUAAGAGAAACAAAUGAGACAGCAGAGACUACGACCUUGAGAAAACAUGCAUGACCGAAGAAUAAAGCAAGACGUUGCUGAGUUACUUCAAGCAUCCAAAGAUGCCUUCGCAGGGUCAUACCAGAAUGUGCCCGGUUUAAGCGAGGUCAUUACAAUCUGAACAACAGCACGAUAUCAAAAGUUUGCAACAUGUUCAAGGUGAAUAUCAUGAAUGGUGCAAUGAAAACUCUACCGGGGCAAUGCCACUCUUUCCAGUUUAUCACGUUUUUUCAUUGAAGUUGAAAUUCUUUCUAUUCGAGUUUUGGCUGAGCUAAGGUAGGAUGAAGAUCCAAUCCCGAUACGAUUAGUUGAACUUAGUUGAAGAAAAAGGCUAGAAACUAUUCAUCAGGCUCAGAUGCACCAAGAAAUGAAUGAUGCGAGCCUAUAGCAAAAGGUUUGUCCCAGAGAAUUCCACGAUGGCAACCUAAUGCUAAAGAAGAUCCUCACUCUACAAAAAAAUAUAACGGAUGCCAAAUUGGGAAAAAAAUUAUGUUAUAGAGAAGGUCUUUUCCAAAGGAGUUUUGAUUUUGGGCGAGAUGGAUGAUAAACCUGCAAAGUCCUGUAAACUCAGGUUCAGUCAGGAAAUACUCCGCUUAAAGAAUGAGAUGACCAAGGUGAAAACCCACAAAGGGUGCUUUGAGUCCAAAAAAAUAAAAAUAAAAAAAGAGAAAAAGAGGAAAAUGGAGAGGCUAAGGUGAAAACCCGUAAAGGGCGCCUUAGACCAAAGGGGAUUUGAGUUGAAAACCCGAAAAGGGCGGCUCAAAUAUUGAUUAGAAUGGGGCACGAGAUUAUCGGAGUAGCUCAAAUACUGAUCAGAAUGGGGCAUGCAAUGGUCUUGCUAUACCUAAAUCAACAAGAAAUGGUAGGCGACAUCUUGGGGCAUCGACAAAGUAUUCCUAAACGCAUGUCAAACUCAGAAUGAUCUUCAGAAAGUCUGUACAGCAAAGUUCAAGCUGCGAUAUUUGGGGCACCUAAUUCUUAUAUUAUUUUUUGUUAUUCUUGGAACACUUCAUUCAUUUCCAAAAUACGCAUUCCUAAAUCAAUUUCUUUAUUAUCCAUCUUUAUUAUAUUUGACAAUUUAUUCAUUUCGAGCUUUGCUCAGAACCAACUCUAUUCUUAUCCAUGGUCUUUUUGCAAGCAUGUUUCAUUAGAAUAAUGAUUCAUAGACUAAUAAAACUUUCACAAGGGAAGUUUUGCAUAUUACUCUAGAAGUUUCUAAAUAAUAUAGGAUCCUCAAACAGGACUAUUGUUUAGAAUGCACUAGGUUGGAAAUCUGAUAAGGAAAAGUCUAAAUUAAGACUAUCCCUUUGAAUUUUCUUGUCUAAAGUAUUAAUUGAACAAAAUGGCAAGAUGUCGUGUUGGUGACAAAGCUUCAAUGAACAAGCAAGCAAUGAUCACCGGAUAAUAAUAAGAAGUUGUUCUUGGAGAAGAUUACUUUAUUUGUGCAUGAGCAUUUGGUACAACACCCUGGGAAUGGUGUAAGAGACCAAAGAGUUUCACAUCCUUGAAUUGUGAUAGUGGAGGAUUAAGAAAAGGCCAAAACUUUUUACUCUCGGGUUACAACGGGAGGAAGAUGGUACAAAUUUUCGCAUACCAUUGAAUCAAACUUGGAGGUUUACAGUGGGGGCAACCUGGUCAAGUGUUUCUUUGGAGACGCCAGCCGAGCAAAAGGUGCUAUAGCACAUUAGCGAUGAAACUUUAAAUAAACUUUGAGUAAUGAUAACCUAAGUGAAAAUGAGGGAUCAUUCUCGAAAAAAUGACAUUCUGCAUUCAUUCAAAUGUCAUUCAUACACGCCUAGUUAGGAGCAUUUGAUUCAUUUGAUCAUGACAUCCUAAUCAUUAGGCAUAGUUAGGUUCAUAAAGUGAAUUAUACAGGUCAUGUUCCCUAGAGAACAGAUCGGUGAAAUCAUAAAGCCUUAUCUCCCUGAACAAUAGUGGAGCAGGUUGAAAAGCAGCAGGUCUUGUCUUCCUAUAUUGGUAGCGAAGUGGAUCGAAUAUACAGAUCUCGCCUUCCCAUACUGGUGGCGAAGCAGAUCGAAGGAAAAAACAGAUCUUGUCUUAUGGCGUGAAGUAGAUCAAAGAUAACAGAUCUCGCCUUCCCAUACUGGUGGCGAAGCAGAUCGAAGGAAUACAGAUCUUGUCUUCAUGUACUAGCGUGAAGUAGAUCGAAUAUACAGAGCUCGCCUUCUCAUACUGGUGGCGAAGCAGAUCGAAAGAAAGUAGAUAUUGUCUUCAUGUAUCAGCGUGAAGUAGAUCAAAGUCAACAGAUCUUGUCUCCCCAUACUGGUGGUGGAGUAGAUCAAAGAAAGUAGAUCUUGUCUUCAUGUAUCGGCAUGAAGUAGAUCAAAGUCAACAGAUCUUGUCUCCCUAUACUGGUGGUGGAGUAGAUCAAAGAAAGCAGAUCUUGUCUUCAUGUACUGCAUGAAGUAGAUCAAAGAAACAAAUAUUGUCUCCCCAUACUGGUGGUGGAGUAGGUCGAAGAAAACAGAUCGUGUCUUCAUGUACUGGCGUGAAGUAGAUCAAAGAUAGUAGGUCCCGUCUUCCUAUAUUGGUAGCGAAGUGGAUCGAAUAUACAUCUUCCCAUACCGGUGGCAAAGUAGAUUGAAGAUUACAGAUUUUGCCUCCCUAAGCAGUAGUGGAGCAGAUCGAAGAUGGCGGAUUUUACCUCCCUGAAGUUGCAGUGGAGUAUAUUGAAGCCAGUAAUUCUACCUCCCCGGUCGGCAGUGGAAUCGAUUGAAAAAGCAGAUCUUGUCUUCAUGUAUUGGCGUGAAGUAGAUCGAAGAAAGUAGAUCGAAGAAAGCAUAUCUUGUCUUCCCAUACUGGUGGUGAAGUAGAUCGAAGAUACAAGUCUUAUCUCCCUGAAGUUGCAGUGGAGCAGACUGAAGUAACCAAUCCUAUCUCAUUGAAGUUGCAAUGGAGUUGAUUAAAACCGCAGAUCUCAUCUCUCUGAAGUUGCAGUGGAGCAGAUCGCGCCAGAUUUAUCUUUAAGUUGCAGCAGACCAAAUUGAAACUAUAAGUCUUGUCUCCCUGAAGUUGUAGUGGAGCAGAUUAAAGAUAGCAAAUUUAGUUCUUUUGAGAAGCUACAAUGUAUGAAUCCUAUCUCUUCGACAUUACAGUAGGAGUGGAUUGAAGCACCAGUUCCUAUACCUCUGGAGAUGUAGUGGGAAGGAACGAGGCUACUAACGCUAAGGUCCAUAUGGCCGGGCAAAAAUUGGUCUUUUUAAGUCAUUGCUCUAUUCUCGUCACACGAUAACGAGCAAAGAGGGGCAGCUGUAAUACCAAUUUUUUCUGCCCGGGCCUAUACAAAAUAAAAUACAGCAGGCCCAUCUACAGACCAAACCCAUAUUCAAAAAAAACCUAGCCUAAGAAGCAGCAAGCUUCAGCCGCAUGCCCAACAGCAGCCUCCCUAACUGCCGUCGCAUCCUCCGCGCACGUACACCUCUUCCACGGCCUCCAUACCUACGAGAAAAGCGGAUCCAAACAGCAAUAGACGCAACAAAUAAUGAAAUAGGAUUUUUUACUUUUAUUUUGCUGUAAUUUUGGCUAUAAAAAGCCAUCAAAAAUCUGUAAAAUGGGGGGAACCAAUAUUGUAUUGAGAGAAUACUGAAAUACAAAAAUAGGGAGAAAAUAUUGAGAUUACAAAGAGAUUUUUGAAGGUGAAUCGUGUUUAUUUUUUUCCAUUUUUUCCAUUCUUUUUUAUUUUAUUUUUUAUUUAUUUUUAAUUUAAAAUAUAAAGAAGGGAGGAAGGACUUACCUCUCUCGCCGGAUUCGUCGAGUCGGCGCUAUCUCCGUCACAGUCGGAGCCUUGGCGCGAGGCUGAGCGACGGCGUUCGAGGGUUGAGGAAACCCUAAAAGGGUCUGGUUUCUCCUCUGGAAAGGGAAACCCAAAAGAACAAAUAAAUG
rnacentral:lncRNA from 1 species